AGAGGGGGCAAGCGUUGUUCGGAAUUACUGGGCGUAAAGGGCGCGUAGGCGGCCUUCUAAGUCGAACGUGAAAUCCCCGGGCUCAACCCGGGAACUGCGUCCGAUACUGGGAGGCUUGAAUCCGGGAGAGGGAUGUGGAAUUCCAGGUGUAGCGGUGAAAUGCGUAGAUAUCUGGAGGAACACCGGUGGCGAAGGCGGCAUCCUGGACCGGUAUUGACGCUGAGGCGCGAAAGCUAGGGGAGCAAACGGGAUUAGAUACCCCGGUAGUCCUAGCCCUAAACGAUGAAUGCUUGGUGUGGCGGGUAUCGAUCCCUGCCGUGCCGAAGCUAACGCAUUAAGCAUUCCGCCUGGGGAGUACGGUCGCAAGGCUG
rnacentral:rRNA from 1 species